AAAAGGGGUGACUACGUAUGGAUCACCGUGAGGAUGGGUUUAUCUAGUUUGUAGGGUGAAGGCCAAACUUUGCGAACCCCUUGCGAUAGAACGGUCGUUGUGGAAGGGCGAUGCUGAAGAAAUCCUAGGAGUGCUGGAUUCCAAAUCCAAGGAGGACGGAAAUUUAUAGGCUGACCAGUUGCAUAUAGCAAACACAGAGAACGUGCACUGCGAUUUGGUCUUCAUCAUUAGUGUUAGAACUUUCGAAAGAGAAGAUGGAUCGAGGAGGAAACGGAUGGUCGCUGUCUUCGUGUACUUACGGGUAUACCCUGGCGGUCAUAGUGAUCAUACUGACAUGUCAUUUGCUGAACUCUCGCCUUCCAUUUGCCUUGUCUUUCCUAUCCGUCCUCUUCGGAUUUAGAGAACGAUCUGCUGCGAAUCCACAUGCCGAAUCCAAUGGUCAUCCUGAUGUCUCUCCCUCUGCUCCUUCUGAAGUAAGGAUCACUGCAGUGGUAUCUGAUCUAGAUCUGAAGAAUUUGAUUGACGUCGUAAAUAAUAAAUUUCAAGCUAAUGAGAAAUGGGAAGAUGUCAUUAACCGGAGAACAGAUCGUUUUUCCUACUGUGCACGGUGUUGUAAACUGAAGGAUGAGCCUCUUAAAUAUCUAAGUGUCACUGUAUUUGAAAAUUGCUCUGUUGAGAUGCUAAGAGAUUUUUACAUGGACAAUGAUUUCCGGAAAUUUUGGGACAAAACCUUGAUUGAGCAUAAGCAGUUGCAGGUGGAUUCAAGCAGCGGAACUGAAAUUGGACUCAUGAUAAAGAAGUUUCCACUAUUGACUCCCAGAGAGUACAUAUUAGCUUGGAGAGUGUGGGAAGGCAAUGACGGAUCCUUCUACUGUUUUACCAAGGAAUGUGAAUAUCCUUUGGCACAAAGAAAGAAGAAGUAUGUCAGGGUUAGGCUCUUUAGAUCUGGUUGGAGAAUCAAGAAAAUUUCUGGUAGGAAUGCCUGUGAGAUUCAAAUGGUACACCAAGAAGAUGCUGGUCUUAACGUUGAAAUGGCAAAACUAGCCUUUGCAAAAGGCAUAUGGAGCUAUGUUUGUAAAAUGGAUGAUGCACUUCGCCAAUACAAAGCAGUUGACCACCAUUCUCAAUUGACUUCAGGUGUGACUGCCGUCACGUUAAUUCAAAAGGUUCCACUUGGGUUAGACACCGUAGACCACACAAGGGGACUAAUCAAUCCAGAAAUCUGCACAAGUAGUGACUAUUGCGGUGGAGUGUCACAUGAAUGCAAUGCUAGGGAACGAAGAAAUGAGCCAUCAAGCAAUCUGGUGCCAAAUAUUCUAAUGCUCCUGGGUGGUGCAAUCUGCAUGUCUAGAGGGCUCUCUAACUUGGGAUCAAAGGUUGCCAUGGCAUGUAUCCUGAGUAAGCUUGUGAAACUCAAUGGCAUGAGAAGCAAAAACUUACAGAGAUUUAGCCAGAUAGAGGUUCAGACACGCGAAGAAUGUACGAUGAUAAGUGAAGAUGAGCUUCAGUGCGACUACUCAAGUGUCACCUCUUGAGUAGGAAUGCAGCUGUGCAUGUUUAUGUGGUUUCAAGAAACAUAUGUUAGU
rnacentral:misc_RNA from 1 species